GAACUGCUUUUUGUCCUGGGACGGCUCCGGCUAGCUCUCGGAUCCCCAGGGCGGAGUAUCCCCAAUAUCCCUACAGUAUCCACAACAUAAACAUCGAUAUACGCGCGUCUCACUUCACAAAAACUAUCGCUCAUCACUAAUAAACAAAACAAACCAAAAUGUAAGCAACGCAAAUAAUUAUAAUUGACGGGAAAAAUAUGGUGUUUUGGUGGCUAUCGAUGACUUAGCCAAGCACGCCCACCCAACCAAGGAUGCCCCGGAGGAUUCUGCGGAGGCAUCACCCAUAAUCUGCUGGUCGAAGUCACUCCUCGCGACUAGGACAGCUCCAUCUCCCCCACAGCGACAACUCACUCGCACAUUUCAGUCUUCAUGUACAUUUUAAUUAUCACCCCUUUACGACCAAACUUGGCUACCGUCUACAGAGUUACGCGGUCAAAGCAGAAGAUUACCUUCCUUUGGCAAAGGCUACAGGCGCCGCGGAAAAUAUGUUCCACCAGUCACGUAUUGGUGGAACUCACAGUGGAACGAGGCGCAAAAAGGGGCACACACUAGGUAUGUGUCGGGUCACCGAAUCCUGAGGAGCUCCUAGGGAAAAGAAGGGACAGGCCAAACGAUAAGUAGUACGCGCUGUAAACAAUGCCGCCGAAAACUAAUAAUCGCGACCCCUAUUUCACAGGCAAUAACGAGGACAAAUUUAGGUUUUCGGGUCUAAGUCCGGAUAAAUAUACAGGUCAACAGCCACUUCUGGGCUAGGCGCCGGGCCAACUAUGCCCCGACUACAGCGUACUCUGCCGGAGGCCAGCAGCAGUAAGGGCCUGGAACACCACGAGGAACGGUGGCGAAGGCGAGACUGAUGGCGGUGCCUCUCGACGCGGCGCGAAUUGGCAGCCAGAUAACCCCCGACUUAUCAGCUCGGAACGGACUCACCGGCGAAUGUCGGAUGGCGUUGGCUGCGUCCGAGGCAGGCGAGUUAUGCUGGUCCGCUUCGUAUCGCUGGGUCGAACGAAGAUUUAAUUUCCUCCAAUUUGAACGUCCAAUUUAAUAUUUCCAAUCUAAUUGGUCCAAUUAAGUCUUCCAAUUUAAACUUCCGAUUUAAAUAACCCGGGGCCCUUUGUGUUGGGACCCCGGUUGCCCUACGAAUAAUUAUUUAUAAAUAAAAUAAACUAUUAAACCUAA